rnacentral:rRNA from 1 species
CUACGGGCCGCUGCAGUGAGGAAUAUUGCACAAUGGGGGGAACCCUGAUGCAGCAACGCCGCGUGGAGGAUGACGCAUUUCGGUGUGUAAACUCCUUUUAUAUGUCAAGAAAAUGACGGUAGCAUAUGAAUAAGCACCGGCUAACUCCGUGCCAGCAGCCGCGGUAAUACGGAGGGUGCAAGCGUUACUCGGAAUCACUGGGCGUAAAGGACGCGUAGGCGGGUUGGAAAGUCAGGUGUGAAAUCCUACAGCUUAACUGUAGAACUGAACUUGAAACUUCUAAUCUAGAGUAUGGGAGGGGGAGAUGGAAUUAGGGGUGUAGGGGUAAAAUCCGUAGAUAUCACUAGGAAUACCUAAAGCGAAGGCGAUCUCCUGGAACAUUACUGACGCUAAGGCGUGAAAGCGUGGGGAGCAAACAGGAUUAGAUACCCCGGUAGUC